UACGGGGGGGGCAAGCGUUGUUCGGAAUUACUGGGCGUAAAGGGCUCGUAGGCGGCCAACUAAGUCAGACGUGAAAUCCCUCAGCUUAACUGGGGAACUGCGUCUGAUACUGGAUGGCUUGGAUUCGGGAGAGGAAUGCGGAAUUCCAGGUGUAGCGGUGAAAUGCGUAGAUAUCUGGAGGAACACCGGUGGCGAAGGCGGCAUUCUGGACCGAUAUUGACGCUGAGGAGCGAAAGCCAGGGGAGCAAAGCGGG
rnacentral:rRNA from 1 species